rnacentral:rRNA from 1 species
CCUACGGGAGGCAGCAGUGAGGAAUAUUGGUCAAUGGGCGAGAGCCUGAACCAGCCAAGUCGCGUGAAGGAUGACGGCCCUACGGGUUGUAAACUUCUUUUGUCAGGGAGCAAUUGGGUCCACGCGUGGGCUUCGCGAGAGUACCUGAAGACAAAGCAUCGGCUAACUCCGUGCCAGCAGCCGCGGUCAUACGGAGGAUGCGAGCGUUAUCCGGAUUUAUUGGGUUUAAAGGGUGCGUAGGCGGAAUAUCAAGUCAGCGGUAAAAAUUCGGGGCUCAACCCGGUCGUGCCGUUGAAACUGAUGGGGUGGAGGGGGGGAGAAGGAGGAGGAAGGCGUGGUGGAGCGGUGAAAUGCAUAGAGA